AAACUUUCAACAACGGAUCUCUUGGCUCUAGCAUCGAUGAACAACGCAGCGAAAUGCGAUAAGUAAUGUGAAUUGCACAAUUCAGUGAAUCAUCGAAUCUUUGAACGCACAUUGCGCCUGGCAGUAUUCUGCCAGGCAUGCCUGUCCGAGCGUCAUUU
rnacentral:rRNA from 1 species